UUCAUUCUAACAUAGAAAAUGGCGUCUUUUCUAAAUCUGAUGCGAGAAUUGACAAUUUCGAUAGAAAUUUUUCUGAAAUUCGGAUUUCCAAGUCACAGAACGAUUCGUAUUGUGAAAUUAGCAGUCUAACGAACCGAAAUUACGUUUCCUCGUUAUCUAAUUCCGAGUCUCGUCAACAUCUACACAAACAGUGGCACGUUUCUACGCGAAAGUUGGAUACCUAAACCACAAAUUGCUUGUGCGCUGGACAGAAUAGAAUCACGAUAAACGACGGGAGAAAAGGAUUCAAGAAGCGGUCGCGAUGAAAUCGCGGUGAAUCCAGGUUGUGGACAACAAGCUCAUUAGUAGCAUCGAUAUGCAGAAUACUGAAAGUUGUAAAAAUGCAACGCAAUAUCUGAUCGCGGUCAUAGAUCCAUACGUUCGCCACCCAAUUAAAAUUAUUCACCUGGGACCAAUUACUGCACCCACGAAGCAUCCAGACGUCAAGGCCGAGGAUACGAUAUAAACCAGUCGUUGUGUUUCAAGUGAAACCGGUUACGCGCCAUGGUGUUUCACGCCCGAACAGAAACAUCAUGAGGAUUUCGCGGUCGCAAUUAGACCUUUGAAAACUGCGUUCCAAUUAACGCCCUCGUAGAUCCCCCUGUGGAUUACUGUCAUGUUUUAUGCAAUCGUCUCGGCGCAAGUGCACCUCGCUCGCAUCUGCGACCGGUUGCAAAGUAAUUGUGGGUUGAAGGAGAUAUCCGCUAGUUCGCCGAAAUUUAUUGACGUAGACGUAGACGUAAAAUUAUGAUGGAAAUCGAGUGGAUAUUCGUGAAACUUAUAUAGGAGAAUAUUCAGAGGAUAAAACUUUCAUCUGUAAGCGAGGUAAAUGGAUGCAUUAGGUUGUUCCCUAAUUGUAAGUAAAUAACGAUAGGUUAUCCUUUAAUUCUAUCGAGAAACAGACUUUGUAAUUAUCAUUUAAAUAUCGUAUUAUAAGCUGACUA